GUGCUUGCUUUGACAGCACAUAGGCUAAAAUUGAAAUGACAAAGAGAAGAUUAGCAUUGCCUCUGCCAAAGAAUGACAUACAAAACCAUGAUACACUCAAUAUUUUU